rnacentral:rRNA from 1 species
AGAGUUUGAUCCUGGCUCAGAGUGAACGCUGGCGGUAUGCUUAACACAUGCAAGUCGAACGAGAACGGUAUAUUCUUCGGAAUAUAUGUCAGCUAAGUGGCGCACGGGUGAGUAACACGUAGCUACCUGCCUCAUAGACCGGGAUAACAGUUGGAAACGACUGCUAAUACUGGAUAUACCCUAAGGGGGAAAGAUUUUAUCGCUAUGAGAUGGGGCUGCGGUGUAUCAGUUAGUUGGUGAGGUAAAGGCUCACCAAGACUAUGACGCAUAACUGGUCUGAGAGGAUGGUCAGUCACACUGGAACUGAGACACGGUCCAGACUCCUACGGGAGGCAGCAGUGGGGAAUAUUGCACAAUGGAGGAAACUCUGAUGCAGCAAUACCGCGUGGAGGAAGAAGCAUUUCGGUGUGUAAACUCCUUUUAUAUUCGAAGAUAAUGACGGUAGAAUAUGAAUAAGCACCGGCUAACUCCGUGCCAGCAGCCGCGGUAAUACGGAGGGUGCAAGCGUUACUCGGAAUCACUGGGCGUAAAGAGCGCGUAGGCGGGUUGUUAAGUUGGAAGUGAAAGCCCACAGCUCAACUGUGGAACUGCUUCCAAAACUGGCAACCUAGAAUUUGGGAGAGGUAAGUGGAAUUCCU